CUGAUCUCAAAUCAGGUAGGACUACCCGCUGAACUUAAGCAUAUCAAUAAGCGGAGGAAAAGAAACUAACAAGGAUUCCCCUAGUAACUGCGAGUGAAGCGGGAAAAGCUCAAAUUUAAAAUCUGGCAGUCUUUGAUUGUCCGAGUUGUAUUCUAGAGAAGUGUUUUCCGCGUUGGACCGUGUACAAGUCUCUUGGAACAGAGCGUCAUAGAGGGUGAGAAUCCCGUCUUUGACACGGACUACCAAUGCUUUGUGAUGCGCUCUCAAAGAGUCGAGUUGUUUGGGAAUGCAGCUCAAAAUGGGUGGUAAAUUCCAUCUAAAGCUAAAUAUUGGCGAGAGACCGAUAGCGAACAAGUACCGUGAGGGAAAGAUGAAAAGCACUUUGGAAAGAGAGUUAAACAGUACGUGAAAUUGUUGAAAGGGAAACGCUUGAAGUCAGUCGCGUUAGUCAGAACUCAGCCUUGCUUUUGCUUGGUGCACUUUCUGAUUGACGGGCCAGCAUCAGUUUUGACUGCAGGAGAAAGGUCAGAGGAAUGUGGCAUCUUCGGAUGUGUUAUAGCCUCUGAUUGUAUACUGUGAUUGGGACUGAGGAACUCAGCACGCGCAAGCUGUGCUUAGGAUGCUGGCGUAAUGGCUUUAAACGACCCGUCUUGAAACACGGACCAAGGAGUCUAACAUGCCUGCGAGUAUUUGGGUGGUAAACCCGAGUGCGCAAUGAAAGUGAAAGUUGGGAUCUCUGUCGUGGAGAGCACCGACGCCCGGACCAGACCUUCUGUGACGGAUCUGCGGUAGAGCAUGUAUGUUGGGACCCGAAAGAUGGUGAACUAUGCCUGAAUAGGGUGAAGCCAGAGGAAACUCUGGUGGAGGCUCGUAGCGAUUCUGACGUGCAAAUCGAUCGUCAAAUUUGGGUAUAGGGGCGAAAGACUAAUCGAACCAUCUAGUAGCUGGUUCCUGC
rnacentral:rRNA from 1 species